rnacentral:misc_RNA from 1 species
CAUGAAGAACGUAGCGAAAUGCGAUAAGUAAUGUGAAUUGCAGAAUUCAGUGAAUCAUCGAAUCUUUGAACGCACAUUGCGCCCGCCAGUAUUCUGGCGGGCAUGCCUGUUCGAGCGUCAUUUCAACCAUCAAGCCCCCGGCUUGUGUUGGGGACCUGCGGCUGCCGCAGGCCCUGAAAACCAGUGGCGGGCUCGCUAGUCACUCCGAGCGUAGUAGUUACAUCUCGCUCAGGGCGUGCUGCGGGUUCCGGCCGUUAAAAGCCUUAUUUACCCAAGGUUGACCUCGGAUCAGGUAGGAAGACCCGCUGAACUUAAGCAUAUCAAUAAGCGGAGGA